rnacentral:sRNA from 2 species
UAAUAUUUAUCGCUGAAUUCUUGUGAAAGAAGCGGGGGAACCAUUUAACUGGGGUGAAUCCUUUUUGGACGGGCAAAAUCCCUUAGCCCGAACCCGUCAGCUAACCUCGCAAGCGUGGAGGGGGGAUUG